ensembl:lncRNA
CCCGCACCGUAGCGCGCGCGUCGGGCCGCCCCUCUGGCACGCCCUCCCCGGCUUCACCUUGGGCCCGCGGCGAGGUCUCGGCCCCUGCGGCUCGCGCGCUGCCCGGGCCGGACGGCGGCGCCUGGCGGGAGCGCGCCCGGGGGGGACGGCGCAGGCGUGGAGUUUCCGGACGCAGCGUCCGUCCCGCUGACUUCCCGCGUGGGGCCCGAGUUUCCGAGCGGCUCACCCACCGCUUCCUGCCGGGUGGCUUAUUGUUCUCUUCCAGCUGCCUGGGCAGGUGGCCGCGCCCCGCUUUUCGGCGUACUUGCUCCGCGCAUUUCGCUUCCGGGGUGCUGACACCCACAGCAGCUGGGUCUUAACCCAGGCCUUUAGUUUUCACCCUUUGCGUAGGUACUGGAGAUGCCUUUGGCGGUGAAGGUUUGCACCCCUUGCGCGGACCGCCUGCGAGUGGCUGCUCCCUGCGCAGGCGGAGCCAGCUCUCAGCAAAUUGUGGGCUCCUGUGCUUGGCCAGGACAGAGCACAAAGGAAACGAAACGCGCGUCUCCAGCAGUGCAGUCGCAGGCGGGACGCCGUCUCCUCCCCAGCUUACCAGCUGGUUGGAGCUUCCACUCCUGCCCUGGUGGUGUCACUGAAUUGCUCUGGCGGGGCUGGAACUCUUGAUACUCCUGCUCCAACUCCCAGAGUGCUUGGGAUUACAGAAAAGUUCAAAUCAUCCCACUUUUCCUAGCACAAGAAUUAUAAUAUCCACAUUUGGUGAUACAAAUACCGACAGAAGGAUGAAUAAAGAGAAAUGUGGAUAGAAUGACAUCACCAGGAAUAGGGCUCCUUCUGCACAGGUAUUGAAUGUAUUCUUACUCAGAACAAAAAGUUGAAGGAACUACUCGGGUCCAUGUUGUUUCCUCACAAGAGAGAUCAAUUCAUAAAAGAUUUUCUCAAAGAUUAAAAUUAUAAAAAUCAUUAAUGAGACAGUAACUUUUCAAACUGUGUAUUUAUUUCAGCAUUGGUUAGUACUAAAUUCUCUGCUAACAAAGAUAAAUUAACAUUCUGCCCACCCCUUACCUGAACUUCCUCAUUUCUCACUGAUAUUUGUUUUCUUACUUUGUCAGGCUUUGCAACACCUACAUACUAUUAAAUCUAUCCUUUCCCUAAGGAUUUGUCUUAAUGUCAGUGUUUAAAUGUAUGUGUUCACUGCUUUCUCUUAGACUUCUUCAUUUUGACUUGGUUCUGUGAAUCUCCUUGCGUAUCAGCCUUUCCUUGUGUUCACACUACCCUCAGUGAUCACAGUAGUGUGGAUUGGUGAAUUGGGCUGGGUUCAUCAGGGAGGCUCUGUGGCUCUCACUUGCUCCCUUACGCAAUUGCCGUUGACAGGGGGCUUGGUUGGGGCUGUAUGGCUACGAUGUGGGUGAGCCCAAGGCACCUUUCAGCCUCCUGGCAGGCUCGCUAGGGCCUGUUCUCCAGCAGAGUAAGAAUGGGAGUUGCAAAUCCUCUUGUGGGUAGGCUUGGAACUCACAUAGUAUCCCUUCUGCUUACAUAGUAUCCCUUCUGCAUUAAUUUAUUGGCCGAGCAGAUCUUAAAUCCAGGGUAGGUUCCAAAGACAGACUACCUUUUGAUGGGAGGAGCUACAAAAAACUCUCCAUUUGCAAUCUUUCAUGAUGGCCUUAUAGCCCUUGAGUUAUUUCAUGUUUGAAAAUCCCUUCUUGAUAUAUUUAAACUUAAACUAUUCUUGAGUCUUCCUUUUUGUCAAAAGAAAUCUUUUUUUCUCUUCAGAACUUUGUCAACAUUGCUUUUAUGGAAAAGUCUGAAGCUAGUUUGAUUUUAACCUUCUUAAGAUUUUUUUGAGGCAUUCUAGACCAACCUGGG